UUACGGCCAUAUCACGUUGAAAACCCAGUUCUCGUAGGAUCACAGAAGUUAAGCAAUAUCGAGCCUGAUCAGUACCUGGAUGGGUGACCAGUUGAGCAUACCAGUUGCUGUAAG